rnacentral:rRNA from 1 species
UACAGAGGUCUCGAGCGUUAGGCGGAAUCACUGGGCUUAAAGCGUGUGUAGGUGGAUGCCUAAGUACCUUGUGAAAUCCCACGGCUUAACCGUGGAACUGCUUGGUAUACAGGGUGUCUUGAGUCACUCAGGGGCGAGCGGAACAAAUGGUGGAGCGGUGAAAUGCGUAGAUAUCAUUUGGAACGCCAAUGGUGAAAACAGCUCGCUGGGGGUGCACUGACACUGAGACACGAAAGCCAGGGGAGCGAACGGG